rnacentral:rRNA from 1 species
AACGAACGCUGGCGGCAUGCCUAACACAUGCAAGUCGAACGAGACCUUCGGGUCUGGUGGCGCACGGGUGCGUAACGCGUGGGAACCUGCCCUUAGGUUCGGAAUAACUCCCCGAAAGGGGUGCUAAUACCGGAUAAUGUCUUCGGACCAAAGAUUUAUCGCCUUUGGAUGGGCCCGCGUUGGAUUAGCUAGUUGGUAGGGUAAAAGCCUACCAAGGCGACGAUCCAUAGCUGGUCUGAGAGGAUGAGCAGCCACACUGGGACUGAGACACGGCCCAGACUACUACGGGAGGCAGCAGUGGGGAAUAUUGGACAAUGGGCGAAAGCAUGAUGCAGCAAUGACGGGUGAGUGAUGAAGGUCUGAGGGUUGUAAAGCUCUUUUACCCGGGAUGAUAAUGACAGUACCGGGAGAAUAAGCUCCGGCUAACUCCGUG